GGCGGGAUGCGGCGCGCCGCGCGUGAACCUCCUUGGCCUGGGCGAAGCUGUGUGGACCAAGCAAGUCAGGAGUGUGGCCAUGUUUUCUGAGCAGGCUGCCCAGAGGGCCCACACUCUACUGUCCCCACCAUCAGCCAACAAUGCCACCUUUGCCCGGGUGCCAGUGGCAACCUACACCAACUCCUCACAACCCUUCCGGCUAGGAGAGCGCAGCUUUAGCCGGCAGUAUGCCCACAUUUAUGCCACCCGCCUCAUCCAAAUGAGACCCUUCCUGGAGAACCGGGCCCAGCAGCACUGGGGUAGUGGAGUGGGAGUGAAGAAGCUGUGUGAACUGCAGCCUGAGGAGAAGUGCUGUGUGGUGGGCACUCUGUUCAAGGCCAUGCCGCUGCAGCCCUCCAUCCUGCGGGAGAUCAGCGAGGAGGUGAGGCAGGGUGCUACACAGUGGGGCUGCCAGGCAGACCUGGCCUCCCACUAGAACACCUCCCUGGGGGUGGGGUUGUGGGGAAGCAGCUUCAGAGACAAUGGGCUCCAGAGGGGUGGGGGCUGCGGUGCCAGCUCACUAACACCAGAG
rnacentral:sRNA from 1 species